rnacentral:rRNA from 1 species
GUAUACGUAGNUCCCGAGCGUUGUCCGGAUUUAUUGGGCGUAAAGCGAGCGCAGGCGGUUAGAUAAGUCUGAAGUNAAAGGCUGUGGCUUAACCAUAGUACGCUUUGGAAACUGUUUAACUUGAGUGCAGAAGGGGAGAGUGGAAUUCCAUGUGUAGCGGUGAAAUGCGUAGAUAUAUGGAGGAACACCGGUGGCGAAAGCGGCUCUCUGGUCUGUAACUGACGCUGAGACUCGAAAGCGUGGGGAGCGAACAGGAUUAGAUACCCUGGUAGUCCACGCCGUAAACGAUGAGUGCUAGGUGUUAGGCCCUUUCCGGGGCUUAGUGCCGCAGCUAACGCAUUAAGCACUCCGCCUGGGGAGUACGACCGCAAGGUUGAAACUCAAAGGAAUUGACGGGGGCCCGCACAAGCGGUGGAGCAUGUGGUUUAAUUCGAAGCAACGCGAAGAACCUUACCAGGUCUUGACAUCCCGAUGCCCGCUCUAGAGAUAGAGUUUUACUUCGGUACAUCGGUGACAGGUGGUGCAUGGUUGUCGUCAGCUCGUGUCGUGAGAUGUUGGGUUAAGUCCCGCAACGAGCGCAACCCUUAUUGUUAGUUGCCAUCAUUCAGUUGGGCACUCUAGCGAGACUGCCGGUAAUAAACCGGAGGAUGGUGGGGAUGACGUCAAAUCAUCAUGCCCCUUAUGACCUGGGCUACACACGUGCUACAAUGGCUGGUACAACGAGUCGCAAGUCGGUGACGGCAAGCUAAUCUCUUAAAGCCAGUCUCAGUUCGGAUUGUAGGCUGCAACUCGCCUACAUGAAGUCGGAAUCGCUAGUAAUCGCGGAUCAGCACGCCGCGGUGAAUACGUUCCCGGGCCUUGUACACACCGCCCGUCACACCACGAGAGUUUGUAACACCCGAAGUCGGUGAGGUANCCUUUUAGGAGCCA